AAAUUAGAGAACAUGAUGUUGGUUCAGAUCAAAUGCUAUGUAGAGGCAUAACACAUGCAAGUUAAUUGAAAAAUUAGCGUUAAGGUGAGUGAUAUAAGAUAAAUAAAGUAUCUUAUUCAGAUGUAGGUAUUAGAUAAUAAUCUAGCCAUGGAACUGGAGCCGGCGAUAAGCGUCACAACGGCCACAUUGAUAUUAAUCAACUCUUAUAUAGAGCAGCAGUGGGGAAUCUUUGACAAUGGUCUAACGACUGAUCAAGUUAUCUACGAGAAGGAUAUUAAUAAUAAGUUCUUUUUAUAAGAAUGAAAAAUAAAUAAUAAAAGAUUAACUAUAAACUUCUAAGUAAUAGUAAUAAUGAUACUAAUUACGAAAGAGUCCUAACUAAAAUAUGUGCCAGCAGCUGCGGUUAGACAUAGAGGGCAAGCAUUGAUCAGAAUGGCUUAAAGGAUCUGUAGAACGUAUCUUUUAUAAUAAAGAUAUAGAAUAAUAUCUCCAUAUAGGAGUUAGGGUAAUAAGAAUUAAAGUUAGAGGGAUAAAAUACGACGAAAACAUUAAGACUAUAAAGAGAUUACUCAAAAUUAUUGACGUUGUGAGAUGAAGGCUACGGUAGCGACAUGGAUUCGAUACCCAUUUAGUCGUAGCAGUUAACUAUGAGUACAAUAUAAGAAAAAUGAAAAUGAAUAGUACUCCGCCUGACUAGUACGCUCGCAAGGGUGAAAUACAAGACAUUAGACGGUUGUAGUCCCAAGCAGUGGAACAUGUCAUUUAAUUGGAUGAUCCUCCAAGAACCUUACCAUCUCUUGAAUUUUUAACAGGCGUUACAUCGUUGUCGUCAGUUCAUGCCGUGAGGUUUAAUAUUAAGUUAUUGAAUGAACGUAACCCUUUUCUUUUUAGAUAAGUAUAAUUGUAAAAUUAUAGGAAGUAGAGGUAGAAGACUAAUCAUGAUGACCCUAAUGAGAUGGGCUAUCGACGUGUUACAAUAUUAAUAACAAUUAUAUUAACUUCUAAUAACAUUCGUUAUUUUUUUAAGUUAAGAUAUUUAUAUAUUUUAUCAUAACUUCGUUAUUGAUAUAGAUAUAUUUAUUAAAUAUUAAGAAUAAGACAUAGUUUCAUUUAUGGAUUGUAAUCUGAAAUUCGGUUACAUAAAGGAGGAAUUGCUAGUAAUCGUAAACUAGAGAGUUACGGUGAAAUUUUUUGCUACUUCGUACUAACCACUCAUCAACAGCAAGAAAUUUUAAUUUACCUUAUUGAGGAUUUAUUAAAAGGACUUGCUGUAAGUUGAAAUACGGUUCGGUUAGGGGAACCUGAUCGGGAUUUAUAUAUUUA
rnacentral:rRNA from 1 species